CUCUCUAUAAAGGUUUUUUCCUGUCUCUUUAUUGAGAUAGGUAAAAGAUCUACAGCUUUUAACAGGUACAUAGGCUGAGGCCUUAUCUCACUCACUUGAGAAAGGCAGAAGAAAAAGCUGGUUCAGAGACAGCUGAGGAAAGGUAGUUGGUGAGCGUUUUGGACUGGCUGUGGUAGCUCCUCAGCUUGGAUGCAAGGUUGGAAUUCUAAUCUCAGCAAACGAAUAUACCCCAGCAGGCAAGAUCGAUGUACCAUCUCUAGCAGCGUCCCAUCUCCAACUGUGACCUACAGCAGCUCARUAGUAAGUUUAUAAAAGAAUAGGACAUACUUUCCAAGCCUUCAGAAUU